rnacentral:miRNA from 15 species
AGAUUUCAUGCGAGGGGGGUUGACAGAAGAGAGUGAGCACACAGCGGGGGAAAAUGGCAUGCGACGGUGCUGUUUCCGUUGCGUGCUCACUUCUCUUCCUGUCAGCCUUUUGUUGUUCCUUCC